GACGAACGCUGGCGGCGUGCUUAACACAUGCAAGUCGAACGAUGAAGCCGGAGCUUGCUCUGGUGAAUUAGUGGCGAACGGGUGAGUAACACGUGAGUAACCUGCCCUUGACUCUGGGAUAACUGCUAGAAAUGGUAGCUAAUACCGGAUACGACCCUCGGAGGCAUCUUCAGGGGGUGGAAAGAAUUUCGGUCAAGGAUGGACUCGCGGCCUAUCAGCUAGUUGGUGAGGUAAUGGCUCACCAAGGCGACGACGGGUAGCCGGCCUGAGAGGGUGACCGGCCACACUGGGACUGAGACACGGCCCAGACUCCUACGGGAGGCAGCAGUGGGGAAUAUUGCACAAUGGGCGCAAGCCUGAUGCAGCAACGCCGCGUGAGGGAUGACGGCCUUCGGGUUGUAAACCUCUUUUAGUAGGGAAGAAGCGAAAGUGACGGUACCUGCAGAAAAAGCACCGGCUAACUACGUGCCAGCCGCCGCCGUAA
rnacentral:rRNA from 1 species